rnacentral:rRNA from 1 species
UACGGAGGAUGCAAGCGUUAUCCGGAUUCAUUGGGUUUAAAGGGUGCGUAGGCGGACUAUUAAGUCAGUGGUGAAAGCCUGAAGCUUAACUGCAGAACUGCCAUUGAUACUGAUAGUCUUGAGUUUGGUUAAGGUAGGCGGAAUGUGUAAUGUAGCGGUGAAAUGCUUAGAUAUUACACAGAACACCAAUUGCGUAGGCAGCUUACUGAGCCGACACUGACGCUGAGGCUCGAAAGCGUGGGGAGCAAACA